UGCUUCCCUGUCAGUGCCAAAUCAGCAG
rnacentral:piRNA from 1 species